GAUGAACGCUGGCGGCGUGCUUAACACAUGCAAGUCGAACGAAGCACUUUAUUUGAUUUCCUUCGGGACUGAUUAUUUUGUGACUGAGUGGCGGACGGGUGAGUAACGCGUGGGUAACCUGCCUUGUACAGGGGGAUAACAGUUGGAAACGGCAGCUAAUACCGCAUAAGCGCACAGCAUCGCAUGAUGCAGUGUGAAAAACUCCGGUGGUAUAAGAUGGACCCGCGUUGGAUUAGCUAGUUGGUGAGGUAACGGCCCACCAAGGCGACGAUCCAUAGCCGACCUGAGAGGGUGACCGGCCACAUUGGGACUGAGACACGGCCCAAACUCCUACGGGAGGCAGCAGUGGGGAAUAUUGCACAAUGGGCGAAAGCCUGAUGCAGCGACGCCGCGUGAGCGAAGAAGUAUUUCGGUAUGUAAAGCUCUAUCAGCAGGGAAGAUAAUGACGGUACCUGACUAAGAAGCACCGGCUAAAUACGUG
rnacentral:rRNA from 1 species